rnacentral:rRNA from 1 species
AACGAACGCUGGCGGCAGGCCUAACACAUGCAAGUCGAGCGAGGACUUCGGUCCUAGCGGCGGACGGGUGAGUAACGCGUGGGAACGUGCCCCUUGGUACGGAAUAGCCCCGGGAAACUGGGAGUAAUACCGUAUGAGCUCUACGGAGGAAAGAUUUAUCGCCAAGGGAUCGGCCCGCGUUGGAUUAGGUAGUUGGUGGGGUAAUGGCCUACCAAGCCGACGAUCCAUAGCUGGUUUGAGAGGAUGAUCAGCCACACUGGGACUGAGACACGGCCCAGACUCCUACGGGAGGCAGCAGUGGGGAAUCUUAGACAAUGGGCGCAAGCCUGAUCUAGCCACGCCGCGUGAGCGAUGAAGGCCUUAGGGUUGUAAAGCUCUUUCAGCUGGGAAGAUAAUGACUGUACCAGCAGAAGAAGCCCCGGCUAACUCCGUGCCAGCCGCCGCCGCAGUAA